AAAUGAUUGCUGCCAAAUUUUUGUGAGAGAGGAGAAGUUCUUGCUGCAAGUUUUGGGAAAGAGGAGAAGUGGAGAACUUUUGAAGUUUUGGAGGAGAUAGACUCAAAGAAUUCACAAAGGAAGUCUUCAAGAGGUGGGUUUCUGAGCGUUCGUUCAUAUAUAGUGGAUUAACGAGCGUUGGUGAUAAGGAUUUGAGUAGAGAGCGUCUGUGUGCGCCUGUGAACGUUCGUUCAUUCCAGAUGAAGAUGAACAUUUGGAAGAAAUGCUGGAAGAAGAGAAU